CGCAAGGAUAACGUCCUGCCCCCCCUCCCUUCCCAUCGCCCUCCCCUAACCCCCCGGUCGGUCCCAGCGAGCCGCAACUUCUUGCUCCCGAGCGGGCUCGCUUUUGGCGUGUCAGCCCGCACAAUGCGGGGCUAAUUCCUGCUGCAAAAGGGAAAACAGUUUGGCUCCAUUGUCGGGUUGCCAAGACCGCCUUUUGAGAAAGGGAGCCCGGCUCGCCUCUGAUCAAACUCAAAGGUAACAAUGCAUUGCUAAUUAAGUGGCGAUGACAUUUCUAAAUGGCUAAAAAAAAAAAGAAAAAAAAAAGAAAAGAAGAAAAGAAAAGAAAAGCCACCUGUACAUGAAAUAAAGACAGUCAAGCAAAGGGAAGACAUUCAUCAGCGUUAAUAAUACUGGAAAUCAGCUCUCUUUUAUCGCUACGGUUUGCUUUGAAUAGGAGAUGGAAUUUGUUUGAUUUGUUACUGAGUAAACAAUAAUUCACGUGUGCACUCUGAAAGGUGAAUGCGGUGCUCCUGAAAGGCACCCAAGCGACAGCACAGGAGAGCAAAGUCCCAUGUCAUGUGUCAUAUCAAG
ensembl:lncRNA